UACGUAGGGUGCGAGCGUUGUCCGGAAUUAUUGGGCGUAAAGCGCACGUAGGCGGUUCGUUAAGUCGGAUGUGAAAGCCCUCGGCUCAACUGAGGAAGUGCACCCGAAACUGGCGAGCUUGAGUACGAAAGAGGAUCGCGGAAUUCCCGGUGUAGAGGUGAAAUUCGUAGAUAUCGGGAGAACACCGGUGGCGAAGGCGGCGAUCUGGGUCGAUACUGACGCUGAGGUGCGAAAGCGUGGGGAGCAAACAGG
rnacentral:rRNA from 1 species